GAUGAAGAACGCAGCGAAAUGCGAUACUUGGUGUGAAUUGCAGAAUCCCGUGAACCAUCGAGUCUUUGAACGCAAGUUGCGCCUCAAGCCAUUAGGUUGAGGGCACGUCUGCCUGGGCGUCACAUAUCGUUGCCUGAUGCCAGUUUCCUCGUGAUGGGUGACUGUGCAGGGCGAAUGAUGGCUUCCCGUGAGCAUUGUUGCCUCAAGGUUGGUUGAAAAUUGAGUCCUUGGUAGGGAGCGCCGUGAUAGAUGGUGGUUGAGUGACGAACGAGACCCAAUCAUGUGAGACCCCUACCGAAUUUGGCCUUCAUGACCCACAUGCGUCUUUGGAACGCUCAUGACGAGACCUCAGGUCAGGCGGGGCUACCCGCUGAGUUUAAGCAUAUCAAUAAGCGGAGGA
rnacentral:misc_RNA from 1 species